rnacentral:rRNA from 1 species
UACGAAGGGGGCUAGCGUUGCUCGGAAUCACUGGGCGUAAAGGGUGCGUAGGCGGGUCUUUAAGUCAGGGGUGAAAUCCUGGAGCUCAACUCCAGAACUGCCUUUGAUACUGAAGAUCUUGAGUUCGGGAGAGGUGAGUGGAACUGCGAGUGUAGAGGUGAAAUUGUAGAUAUUCGCAAGAACACCAGUGGCGAAGGCGGCUCACUGGCCCGAUACUGACGCUGAGGCACGAAAGCGUGGGGAGCAAACAGG